UGGGAGUGUUUAAGGUUGUAUCGUGCCUGU
rnacentral:piRNA from 1 species